UACGGAGGGUGCAAGCGUUAUCCGGAUUCACUGGGUUUAAAGGGUGCGUAGGUGGGCAGGUAAGUCAGUGGUGAAAUCUCCGGGCUUAACUCGGAAACUGCCAUUGAUACUAUCUGUCUUGAAUACCGUGGAGGUUAGCGGAAUAUGUCAUGUAGCGGUGAAAUGCUUAGAUAUGACAUAGAACACCAAUUGCGAAGGCAGCUGGCUACACGAAUAUUGACACUGAUGCACGAAAGCGUGGGGGUCAAACAGG
rnacentral:rRNA from 1 species